UUACGGCCAUAUCACGUUUAAACACUGGUUCUCGUACGAUCAUCGAAGUUAAGCAACGUUGAUCCUGGUCAGUACCUAGAUGGGAGACCGUUUAGAAAUACCAGGC